rnacentral:rRNA from 1 species
UUGGGUUAAGUCCCGCAACGAGCGCAACCCUCGUUCUAUGUUGCCAGCGGUUCGGCCGGGGACUCAUAGAAGACUGCCGGGGUCAACUCGGAGGAAGGUGGGGAUGACGUCAAAUCAUCAUGCCCCUUAUGUCUUGGGCUUCACGCAUGCUACAAUGGCCGGUACAAAGGGCUGCGAUACCGCAAGGUGGAGCGAAUCCCAAAAAGCCGGUCUCAGUUCGGAUUGGGGUCUGCAACUCGACCCCAUGAAGUCGGAGUCGCUAGUAAUCGCAGAUCAGCAACGCUGCGGUGAAUACGUUCCCGGGCCUUGUACACACCGCCCGUCACGUCACGAAAGUCGGUAACACCCGAAGCCGGUGGCCCAACCGCAAGGAGGGAGCCGUCGAAGGUGGGACUGGCGAUUGGGACGAAGUCGUAACAAGGUAACCA